rnacentral:rRNA from 1 species
GAUGAACGCUGGCUGGCGUGCUUAACACAUGCAAGUCGAACGAUGAAGCUGGAGCUUGCUCCGGUGGAUUAGUGGCGAACGGGUGAGUAACACGUGAGCAAUCUGCCCAUGACUCUGGGAUAACUGCGGGAAACUGUAGCUAAUAGCGGAUACGACGCCUUGGGGCAUCCCACGGGCGUGGAAAGAAUUUCGGUCAAGGAUGAGCUCGCGGCCUAUCAGCUAGUUGGUGAGGUAAUGGCUCACCAAGGCGACGACGGGUAGCCGGCCUGAGAGGGUGACCGGCCACACUGGGACUGAGACACGGCCCAGACUCCUACGGGAGGCAGCAGUGGGGAAUAUUGCGCAAUGGGCGAAAGCCUGACGCAGCAACGCCGCGUGAGGGAUGAAGGCCUUCGGGUUGUAAACCUCUUUUAGCAGGGAAGAAGCGAAAGUGACGG